AAAAUGUCAGGAGAUAAAGGAUUAUCAAUUUCAAAAAAAUGUUGAGAUAUAAAAUGUUGAUCAUUCUGUGGUAUUAUGCUAACUGAACAUGAACCUGAACCUUGCAAGAUGACCUUUUCGGUUUAAUCUUAGGCAGCGUUGCGUUCAUCUAUUGUAAAAGAGCUCUCUUAGCAACAGAUUCUUCUUGCUGAGCAAGCCAUAAACGGGAUCUAGUGUUGUUUCCAAGUUGAGGUAUCAACAUAAUAAGUAGUCAUUGAAUAAGAAAGCAUAACAUAUCACCAACUACCUAUACACUUUGGCAUUUAUCUUUAUGAACUGAUCUAUACCUUUUAUUUAAAAAAAAUUUGUAUCUAGUUCUAUUCUAAUACGUGAAAGUUUGUGCUGGAUUUUUUUACUUGUCAACGAGAACAACACACAUUGGUAUCUGGUUAUUUUUUAUUUGUGCAAUCAUCAAACAAUUCUGCUAGACUCCCUACCGAUUGCUACAGAUAAAGAGCAAAAGAGAUCGAGUAUAGUAAAGCUGGCAAAAUAUCUGGAAGAUAUGCUCAAGUAUGACUCGUUCUAUAAAUACAACACUCCGUUCAAGCCAAGGAUACUUGAUUUUGCAUUUGUGGAUAUACUAGAAAUAGGAGAACAAGCUCCUGGCUCUAAUGAUUGUGGGGUAUGGAUGGCAACCUGGAUGACAAACUAUAGGAAGACAUAUAGUUAUACAAUAAAUGUUAAUGAUGGUACAAGGAUGCGACUUGCGUUGGAUUUGAUUCUAAGGCCCCACAACUUGAUGCUGCGUAAUGUCAUUGAAUCUGCUACUAGGAAUUACAAUAAGUAUAAACAAAAUGAG